rnacentral:rRNA from 1 species
AUGCACGCUGGCGGCGUGCCUAAUACAUGCAAGUCGAGCGAACGGACGAGAAGCUUGCUUUUCUGAUGUUAGCGGCGGACGGGUGAGUAACACGUGGAUAACCUACCUAUAAGACUGGGAUAACUUCGGGAAACCGGAGCUAAUACCGGAUAAUAUUUUGAACCGCAUGGUUCAAAAGUGAAAGACGGUCUUGCUGUCACUUAUAGAUGGAUCCGCGCUGCAUUAGCUAGUUGGUAAGGUAACGGCUUACCAAGGCAACGAUGCAUAGCCGACCUGAGAGGGUGAUCGGCCACACUGGAACUGAGACACGGUCCAGACUCCUACGGGAGGCAGCAGUAGGGAAUCUUCCGCAAUGGGCGAAAGCCUGACGGAGCAACGCCGCGUGAGUGAUGAAGGUCUUCGGAUCGUAAAACUCUGUUAUUAGGGAAGAACAUAUGUGUAAGUAACUGUGCACAUCUUGACGGUACCUAAUCAGAAAGCCACGGCUAACUACG